CAAGGAUUAAAAAUUAACCGGGCGAGCUUGAAGCCGGUUUGGAUAUGCACUCAGAGUAACAUCACAAACAUAUUAUUAACCUGAGUACACAACACCAGCACAGAAAAAAUUCAUAUUACAAGAACUCAUUGGUAUUGAAGGAACUAGAUACUGUUCCGAAAUAUCACUUACUCGAACCGUCCUGACCGCGUAGCUCAGUUGGAAGAGCAUUGGGCUAGUGUUCCAAAGGUCGUAGGUUCGAAUCCCACCGUGGCCGGGCAUAUUUUUCAAGCUCGCCCGGUUUGGAUAUGCACUCAGAGUAACAUCACAAACAUAUUAUUAACCUGAGUACACAACACCAGCACAGAAAAAAUUAAUUUCUAGUUCUUGAAAAUUUUCGCGAAGGAUUUAACUUAUAGAACGAUAAAUAUUCAAUUUACACUAAAAACACCUGGCAAAACAGUGCCUUUUUUAACUAUAUAUCUGGGCGGGGGGGGGGGUCAAUUACCCAGGAAGAAUUCCCAGUAAAGCCAUUUCUGCCCCCGAAGUGCGAAGCAGAAUUACUCAUGAUUGCUGUCAGAAUUGCAGUUGAUUUACUUGAUAAGGAGAUUAUGCCCUUCCAUAGCCUCCUCCACAGCCAUCUUGUGUGUAAUUCAUAGCGAUAGAUUUCAUGCAAACAAUCCGAUAAAAUGCUGGUUCCAAGAAGAAUAGAUUUAGUUUAGAUUUUUAACUGUUAAAUAGAUGUAUGCAUCAUCAUAGCAUGAAUAUUUCUUCUCAGAUUUAU